AGAGUUUGAUCAUGGCUCAGGAUGAACGCUAGCGGCAGGCCUAAUACAUGCAAGCCGAACGGCAAUCCCGCAGCAAUGCGGGACUAGAGUGGCGUAAGGGUGCGUAACACGUAUGCAAUCUGCCCUCAACAGGAGGAUAGCUCCCCGAAAGGGGAAUUAAGCCUCCAUAGUAUAUUAGGGUGGCAUCACUUUAAUAUUAAAUUACCAGAGGUUGAGGAUGAGCAUGCGCAUGAUUAGUUAGUUGGCGGGGUAACGGCCCACCAAGACGAUGAUCAUUAGGGGAACUGAGAGGUUGAUCCCCCACACUGGCACUGAGAUACGGGCCAGACUCCUACGGGAGGCAGCAGUAGGGAAUAUUGGACAAUGGGUGCAAGCCUGAUCCAACCAUGCCGCGUGCAGGAAGACGGCCUUCUGGGUUGUAAACUGCUUUUUUCUGGGGAUAAAAAUUCCAUGCGUGGAAGAUUGAAGGUACCAGGAGAAUAAGCCACGGCUAACUACGUGCCAGCAGCCGCGGUAAUACGUAGGUGGCAAGCGUUGUCCGGAUUUAUUGGGUUUAAAGGGUGCGUAGGCGGUCCUGUAAGUCAGUUGUGAAAUACGGCAGCUUAACUGUCGAGGUGCAAUUGAUACUGCAGGACUUGAGUACUGAUGAGGUAGGCGGAAUGGACGGUGUAGCGGUGAAAUGCUUAGAGAUCGUCCAGAACACCGAUAGCGAAGGCAGCUUACUAAGGAGUAACUGACGCUGAGGCACGAAAGUGUGGGGAUCAAACAGGAUUAGAUACCCUAGUAGUCC
rnacentral:rRNA from 1 species